UUCAUCCUACGGGGGGCAGCAGUAGGGAAUUUUCGGCAAUGGGGGGAACCCUGACCGAGCAACGCCGCGUGAAGGAAGAAGGAAUUCGUUCUGUAAACUUCUGUUAUAAAGGAAGAAAGGCGGAUGAAGGAAAUGACAUCCGAGCGACGGUACUUUAUGAGAAAGCCACGGCUAACUACGUGCCAGCAGCCGCGGUAAUACGUAGGUGGCAAGCGUUAUCUGGAAUUAUUGGGCGCAAAGAGGGAGCAGGCGG
rnacentral:rRNA from 1 species